rnacentral:rRNA from 1 species
GACGAACGCUGGCGGCGUGCUUAACACAUGCAAGUCGAACGAAGUGGCGAACGGGUGAGUAACGCGUAAUCACCCUGCCCUUCAGAGGGGGACAACAGUUGGAAACGACUGCUAAUACCGCAUACUGAAGGAGGGUGUUGCGUUUGAUUAGCUAGUUGGAGGGGUAACGGCCCACCAAGGCGAUGAUCAGUAGCCGGUCUGGGAGGAUGAACAGCCACAUUGGUACUGAGGCACGGCCCAGACUCCUACGGGAGGCAGCAGUGGGGAAUCUUCCGAAAGUGACGGAAGUCUGACGGAGCAACGCCGCGUGAGGGAUGACGGCCUUCGGGUGGUAAAGCUCUGUGAAUCGGGACGCGGUACCGGAAUAGAAAGCCACGGCUAACUACGUGCCAGCAGCCGCGGUAAUAC